rnacentral:lncRNA from 1 species
GACUUCUGGAGAGGGAGAGGGAUGGAGAUUGAAUUCAAUCACCAAUGGCCAAUGAUUUAAUCAACCAUGCCUGUGUCAUGGAACACAGGAAACCUAAACAACAUAAAAAUCCUUAACAACAGGGUUUGGUGAGCUUCUGGAUUGGUGAACACAUUGAGGUGGUAGAAGGCUAGAGUUCAGGAGAUGACAUGGGAAGACAUGGAAGCUUUGUGUCCCUUCCCAUAUACCUUGCUCUCUGCAUCUCUUCCAUUUGGCUCCUCCUGAGUUCGUGCCUCUCAACAUCCAGCAGAAUGUGGGAAUAUCUAUGCCUUGAUAGGUCUUCAGUUACUCAUGGUGAAACAUAUUGCUGAGUUGAGUAAAUAUUUCCUUCCAUAAAGGUAAAUAAGCAUCUCAAGAGCAAGUUUCUACAUUUUGUAUUUCCCUGUUUUAUUUCUGUAAAAUUGUGCAACCAAGAAUUAUGACCUACUGAUAUUAGAAUAAAAUUUGCAGAAGUUUGA